rnacentral:rRNA from 1 species
GUGUCAGCAGCCGCGGUAAGACGGAGGAGGCAAGCGUUGUCCGGAUUGACUGGGCGUAAAGAGCAUGUAGGUGGGAUCUUAAGUCGGUGGUGAAAGCCUUCCGCUUAACGGAAGAAUGGCCAUCGAAACUGGGAUUCUUGAGGGCAGGAGAGGAGAGUGGAAUUGCUGGUGUAGCGGUGAAAUGCGUAGAGAUCAGCAAGAACACCCGUGGCGAAGGCGACUCUCUGGACUGCUCCUGACACUGAGAUGCGAAAGCCAGGGGAGCGAACGGGAUUAGAUACCCCGGUAGUCCUGGCUGUAAACGAUGAUCACUAGGUGUUGGAGGAUCGACCCCUUCGGCGCCGUAGCUAACGCAUUAAGUGAUCCGCCUGAGUAGUACGGCCGCAAGGCUGAA